AGCCUCCGCGUGGCGAUGGUAGUCCACGUCUAAGGAUGUAGGGCGAGGUGUAGGCAAAUCCGCACCUCAUAUAGCCUGAGAUCUGAUAGUGACCGCGAAUGCGGGAAGAGGGUGAUCCUAUGCUGCCUAGAAAAACUUCUAGCGAGGUUCUGAGCCGCCCGUACCCCAAACCGACUCAGGUGGUUAGGUAGAGAAUACCAAGGCGAUCGAGUGAAUCGUGGUUAAGGAAUUCGGCAAAAUACCCCCGUAACUUCGGGAGAAGGGGGGCCCUGAUCGUGACGGCACUUGCUGCCCGAGCGUGAUCGGCCGCAGAGACCAGGGAGAAGCGACUGUUUACUAAAAACACAGGUCCGUGCGAAGUCGCAAGACGAUGUAUACGGACUGACGCCUGCCCGGUGCUGGAAGGUUAAGGGGACGGGUUAGCCGCAAGGCGAAGCUCAGAACUUAAGCCCCAGUAAACGGCGGUGGUAACUAUAACCAUCCUAAGGUGGCGAAAUUCCUUGUCGGGUAAGUUCCGACCUGCACGAAUGGCGUAACGACUUCUCCACUGUCUCAACCACGAACUCGGCGAAAUUGCACUACGAGUAAAGAUGCUCGUUACGCGCAGCAGGACGGAAAGACCCCGGGACCUUUACUAUAGUUUGGUAUUGGUGUUCGGAACGGCUUGUGUAGGAUAGGUGGGAGACUUUGAAGCUUGCACGUCAGUGCAGGUGGAGUCAACGUUGAAAUACCACUCUGGUCGUUUUGGAUAUCUAACCUCGGUCCGUGAUCCGGAUCAGGGACAGUGCCUGAUGGGUAGUUUAACUGGGGCGGUUGCCUCCUAAAAGGUAACGGAGGCGCCCAAAGGUUCCCUCAGCCUGGUUGGCAAUCAGGUUUUGAGUGUAAGUGCACAAGGGAGCUUGACUGUGAGAGAGGCAUCUCGAGCAGGGACGAAAGUCGGGACUAGUGAUCCGGCGGUAGCUUGUGGAAGCGCCGUCGCUCAACGGAUGAAAGGUACCCCGGGGAUAACAGGCUGAUCUUGCCCAAGAGUCCAUAUCGACGGCAUGGUUUGGCACCUCGAUGUCGGCUCGUCGCAUCCUGGGGGUGGAGCAUCUCCCAAGGGUUGGGCUGUUCGCCCAUUAAAGCGGUACGCGAGCUGGGUUUAGAACGUCGUGAGACAGUUCGGUCCCUAUCCGCUGUGCGCGUAGGAAAUUUGAGAGAGGCUGACCCUAGUACGAGAGGACCGGGUUGGACGAACCUCUGGUGUGUCAGUUGUUCUGCCAAGGGCACCGCUGAUUAGCUACGUUCGGAAGUGAUAACCGCUGAAAGCAUCUAAGCGGGAAGCACGUCUCAAGAUGAGAUUUCCAUGGGGCUUGCCCCGAGAGGCUCCCAGCUAGACGACUGGGUUGAUAGGCCGGAUGUGGAAGUGCAGCAAUGCAUGGAGCUGACCGGUACUAAUAAGCCGAUAACUUGAUC
rnacentral:rRNA from 1 species